rnacentral:tRNA from 1 species
GCGGGAAUGGUGAAAUUUGGUAAACACAGGGGAUUUAAAAUCCCCCGACGAAAGUCUUACGGGUUCAAGUCCCGUUUCCCGUACCA